GGGUAAUUAGCUCAGUUGGGUAGAGCACUUGCUUGACAUGCAAGCGGUCGCUGGUUCAAGUCCAGUGUUACCCA
rnacentral:tRNA from 1 species